CCUACGGGAGGCAGCAGUGGGGGAUAUUGCACAAUGGGGGAAACCCUGAUGCAGCGACGCCGCGUGGGUGAAGAAGCGCCUCGGCGCGUAAAGCUCUGUCAGCAGGGAAGAACAUGACGUUUCCUGAAGAACAAGCACUGGCCAACACCGUGCCAGCAGCCGCGGUAAUACGUAGGGCGCAAGGGUUAUCCGGUUUUACUGGGUGUAACGGGGGUGGAGACGGCGAUGCAAGCCAGGCGUGAAGGCCCGGGGUCCAACCCCGGGACUGCUCUUGAAACUGCGAGGCGAGAGUGCAGGAGGGGCAGGGGGAAUUCCUGGUGUAGCGGUGAAAUGCGUAGAUAGCAGGAGGAACACCAGUGGCGAAGGCGACCAGCUGGACUGCAACUGACGUUGAGGCCCGAAAGCGUGGGGAGCAAACAGGAUUAGAUACCCUAGUAGUC
rnacentral:rRNA from 1 species